rnacentral:rRNA from 1 species
AUACGUAGGGGGCAAGCGUUGUCCGGAUUUAUUGGGCGUAAAGCGCUCGUAGGCGGUUCCGUAAGUUAGGAGUUAAAUCUCUGGGCUCAACCCAGAGCCGCUCCUAAUACUGCGGUGACUCGAGUCCGGUAGAGGAGUGUGGAAUUCCUGGUGUAGCGGUGAAAUGCGCAGAUAUCAGGAGGAACACCGACGGCGAAGGCAGCACUCUGGGCCGGUACUGACGCUGAGGAGCGAAAGCGUGGGGAGCAAACAGGAUUAGAUACCCUGGUAGUCCACGCCGUAAACGUUGGGCACUAGGUGUGGGGAGGAAUCAACCCUUUCCGUGCCGUAGCUAACGCAUUAAGUGCCCCGCCUGGGGAGUACGGCCGCAAGGCUAAA